rnacentral:rRNA from 1 species
UACGUAGGUGGCAAGCGUUGUCCGGAAUUAUUGGGCGUAAAGCGCGCGCAGGCGGUCCUUUAAGUCUGAUGUGAAAAGCCCACGGCUCAACCGUGGAGGGUCAUUGGAAACUGGGGGGACUUGAGUGCAGGAGAGAAAGAGUGGAAUUCCCACGUGUAGCGGUGAAAUGCGUAGAGAUGUGGAGGAACACCAGUGGCGAAGGCGGACUCUUUUGGCCU